rnacentral:lncRNA from 1 species
AGACGCACGACAAGUCGCCAACCCGGCCCAACCGCCAAUCAGCAUCAUCUUUCUCCUCUCCUCAACCCGCGACCGGAAAGGAAAGCAGAUUCCUCCGACGAAGAAGAGCCUAGCGGGAUCGGAGAUGGGAGGCUUCGACGUGAAGCAGCGGACCAUGGAGCUCAAGAUCGCGGUGAUGAAGGGCGUCAGGGUGGUCGGCGACUUCAGCAAGAAGACGUGGAAGAAGGUGAAGAGUGUCAAGCGCUGAGUGAUUGAUCGGUUGGUCCAGCGCUGGCUUGUGUUGAUUCGUAUGAUUGAUAGCAGGUGUGAUUUUGGUUGUGGUUGUAAUUGGCUUUGUUGGAUCUGUUUGAGGCACCUUUUAAUGUGAGAUUUUGCCUGUUUGUAUGGAUUAUAUUAUAUUUUUGUCUUCUGGUUUUACUUGAUUGAUCGUGUCUGCUGUUUUUUUGCUUGGUUCGUCUUCCAUGGGUGAAGUUUAUGGUGAAUUGCUGAUAGUUCUGUUGUUGUUGAGAUGUUUGGUCUGUUCUUGCCCACCUAACAGGCGAUCCAUCCAUAUCCUGAAAACUAUACACGCUAUUUUCAUCAGGAGGUGAAAAUCUGGCAGACUUCUCACCGUUACACAUUCGAUGAAACAAGGCUCAAACUUAUGAUCACAUAUUCUUACCGAUGAUUUUAUCUCAGCUAUAAAAGAAAACUUGGUUGCUAUUGAUCUACGCAUCACAAAAUUUUCAGUAUGAAAGGUUGCUGCGCAUCACAAAAUUCUCAGUUAGACAGUAAUACGAGCUAAGACUGGAGUAGUUUGCCUCUGCACUACAAAGGGCUGGACAUACACGGCAGAUGCGUCCUUGGUGUUUAAAGUUCGACAGCUAGCCUCUUCAGACUAAAAAUUUAAGAGCUGAGCUGGCUGUGGUAGCGGAGCUGUACGAAAAAAAAGAAAGUCCUCAGGCAACAACUCACGGCACGAUGGCACACCGCCGUAUGCGGAAACAUAUGCUGAACAGCAGCAGAAAAUGUUUCUUACGCCUCGCUGUACUAGCUGAUGCAUAUAGCAGCACGUGAAACCGCUUUCAAAAAUAAAUAAAUUAUACAGCUACAAUACCAGCAUUUUCCAAGCCAAAACGGCAAAAUUCUUGUGCUAUUAAACAGCGGUACAUGCAUCACGGUAAGUUGCUCACUCUACAGUGCUCAUGAAGAUCUAACGGGAAUAACCGCAGGGAAUUGGAAUGUCCACAAGCCGCCUACUGCGGAGGAGCGUCAGGAUCCAACCUUUUCUGGAUUGCAGCUGCGGCCUGAUAAAGAAUAUGUUUGGCAUUAAUUAAAUAUACAUUUCGCCUCUAAUUACACUGGCAAGGUUAGAAUAAAGGGCAUACCUCAAAAUUCCCCAACUUGUACUGGUACAUCAUUUCCUCACGCAGGAGGGCCUGCUCCUUCAUUGCUUGAGCCUAAAAUGGGGAUCAAAGCAAGCAUCUAUGUCAGAUGACAGAACAAAAAGGUGAAAUUUUUGUAAACCCAUUCUAAGCAAGUGAAAUUUUAUGCCAACCCAUUUUAAUGUAUACAACCAUACAGGUAUUCAAUAUCAUGUACUCCAUCCCAAAAUAUAAGGCACAUUUCAAUUGCUUUGACCAAACCUUUGAGCAAACCUUGCCCCAUUAACAUGUGACUUACGUGACCAAAUCAUAAUCAUAAGCAAGUACUUUUGAUUAAGAAUUAAAUGAUGUAAUUUUUUGUCACAUAAAUUGUAUAUUGAUGAAGUAAUUCUUAGUCAAAAGCUUGUUCAAGGAAACAAAAAAUGCCUUAUAUUUUGGGAUGGGUAGGAUCAAAAUCAAAAAAUUGGAUUAAAUAAACCUUGAAGCUCAACACCCCUGGAAAUCCGAGACUCAAAAUUAAAGUAUAACAGAAGUUCGAAAAGAACGAGAAGGGGCAUCUGUAACCAAUUGAUAGAGCACAUGGCUGUGGUGGUUGAGGUCUCCUUGUAGAUUCAAGCCACAUACUCCCUAUUUUAAAAGAUCAUAGAUGCAUUCUCAAAUGAAUGGAAAAAUGAAUAUAUGCAUUCUUAAAUGAAUUGGUGGUACUUGGCAAGUUGGCAUCAAGUGACCAAGGAGAGCUUUCAGCUACGUUGUGAAAGAUUGAUCACACCUACGAUACAUGAAAGGCAAAAAUAAAGAGAACAAGCACUAUUUAGUGACCAAGACACUUCCAACAAGCAUUCUCGUAUUCGAUGCAAGUUCAGAGGACAGAUCAACAAAGAAAAGAACAAGAAUACAAGAAAAAAAACUGCAAUAUUCUAACCAUUCCAGUUUGCAUGGAGCGUUUUAGAGCUGUCACUUCUUCCUCCUUUCGGCGUUCACGUUCCCUCAACAGUUCUAUCCUGCAUGACACAUUUUUUGAGAGAAGUAAAAAAAUUAAUAGCCCAGACACAAUUAACUGUUAAUCUAUCUGUAAAACAUGAAGAUUGCAUGGCAUAAUGGGCUCAUAAUUUGAAAUUGCCGUAAAAUAGUAAUCAAAUGAAUGGAACCUAGGCCAUCUACUUUUUUACCAAAUGCUAUAAGUAGACUUCAGUAAUCUAUAAGUAGACUUAUGUAAUUACACUAAGACAUUCCAUGAUGUCCAAUGCUUUGCUAUUGCAGGUAUACACAAACUAAAGAAAUGUAUAUGUCCACAUACCGUCGCUGUUCCUCGUCAUUAAAUAUUGUGCGCACUGCUACCACACCAGCAUUCUUUAAACCAUCCUUUCUCUCUUUCUCCAUCAUUCGGUGAUGGUAAGCAUCUAAGUCAUAAUAUCUAAUAAGACAACAAAAGAAGGGGAAAGAUAAAUUCCCAUACUGAAUUACUAGCAUAUAUAUAUACACACAACAAGAAUCUAUGAAAAGAAGCAUGCAUUACUUUUUUGAUGGAAAAGUGGCUGUAUUGUGGUCUUCCAUAAAUCUGAGAUGCACAGAAAGAUGUAUGUUAAACAUCCUAUGAAGAUAAGGAAUUCCAGGGAAGGGCAAUACUUUAUUUCUAAGUUCACCAGAAGCUCAUUGAAUUAUUAAUUUCAUGGCAGUAUAGUAACAUACUCCUUAAACAUUUGUUUCUCUUCCCAAUUAGACAAUGCCUCCAAAUUGACCUGUGGCCACAUUCCAAAAUAAAUAAAUUAAGAUUAACACACGAUAUCGUAAAUAAGUAAAUACUCAACAAGAUUGAGUAGUAACAAGAUUGACAAUUUGGUACCAAUGUAAAAUGCACAGCAAUUUUCUUUUUUAUAACAAACGUUAGUCUACUCUAUGUGACCUGAUAAGUGAUAACAAAACUAGAAUAAGAGAGAUUGGCUUAACAAGAAUGCAAGCAAACAUGGUUCAAUAAGUUGGGAGAAAAAUGCUAAACUAAAAAUAUCAAAAGACCAAGAGAGAGAACAAUACUGCUCUGUUCCUCUAACAUUUAGGUCAGCCUAACUUUAUAAAAUUAAAACUUUUUGCUAAAAGAGAAAUAAACAAGCUCUAAUGCAUUGUGCUCAAAUAGCAGCAAUUUUCCUUUAACAAAAUUUUUUACUGAAAGAAUAGUAGUCUACCUAGAAUAACGAUUUCUUUGGAGCUAACUGGUUUGCCUAAUACUAACUGAAAAAUAUAUAUAUAUUAGAAUGGCGUUUCAUUAGUGGGGGACGGUUAGAUACACAUUGUUGAUCUGACAUUUUUCUUGUGUGCGUACUGCGUUCAAGUUCUCAAUAUUUCAUAAAAAUGGCAAUAUCGGUAGAAUGAUAGAAACAAACAUACCUGCUUGACUUCUAACAACCAUGCAGUGAACUCUGGUCGCUUGUUCCUGCAGAAAACAUCACAUGGUUGACCUCAUGAGAGAGUGGUAGAAGUAUAAAAUAAUUGCACUUUAUAAGAUUAUCUAGAGUCUAAACUCAUAAUAACCUACAGGAUCCAUCACUUAAAUCAUUUAAUCCUAUCAAAUAGUAAAAUAUUUCAGAAUGAUCUAAUCUCCAUUUCUGAUUCAUAUUGGCCAUAAGAGGAAUUUUACGCAUUGAAAUUUACAUAUUACACAUUUACCACUAGUAACACAACUGACAAGAUAAAUGAUCUUAGGCUCUUAGCUAUUACCAGUUUACCACAUUCUAACAAUCACUUGCACCAGGGUAACCAACAAGGAAUUGUGAGGCCUCAACACAAUGAAGGGCCAGUCCGGAAACGCCAGCGGUAGCCCACAUUUCCAUCACUCCUCGUUGUCUCCUUGCAUCCCACCUCAUCUAUGGAGCUGCUGUGGAAGCUUCUCUUCCACUGCCACGAUAUCCUCAAGUGAACUCACAGCUAGUCACCAAGGCAUGCAGGAGCAUGGCAAGUGGUACAGGCUCAUUACUACGUACGUGGCAAUCACAUUAGAAUUUGGUAGGGCUCUUCGCUGUCAAAGAGGCAGAAAAGCAACUUUCCAAUGAGAGCAUGUCACCUCCCCUCCUCUGUCCUCAUCUUUGUUAGAUGAUUUUUUUUUCUAAUUUGUGGCUGCUACAUGCUUCCUGAUUGCAGAUCGAGGAAUGAAGAGAGAAGGUGGAGGAGGAGCAGCCAACUAAGGCUUAGAUAGCAAAUUAAGAAGAAGCAGGUGAUGUCUCUUUUUGUUUUUGCUAGAAUUUAAAUCACAGCAAGAAUCGUUACUAUAAUGCAAGCUUGUGAUUCAUGCACAAGAUGCUUCUUUCUGAUCUGAUGCAGUCUGUUGAUUCAUGCAGCGCAGUAGUAGCAAACUAUGUGGAUGUGUUCAUCUGUUACACUUGGUGAUUGAUAACACAACAGUCACCAGUCACUGGUAAUCACCAUGUCAGCUAGCUCUGGAGGCAAUCAAUCCACAGCCAGCAGUUUGCUUCUGGGUGUUUCUAGUUCGCCGGCUCAACAACCAAGCGCAACAGUCAAAGGUGCCAAAGAAGGUGUGUGCUGCAGGCAGUGUCAUAGCCUGCAGAAAUGUUUUGUGGCAGCACGGCUAAGCAUGGUUGGCCGUAGCCUGACCCAUCUUCAUCACUAACUACAGUACUCAUCUUGUUAGCUAAUCAUGAAGAGUAUUCCUCCCAUAUGCAUCCAUAGGCUAUUCCAGCACACAAACAUGAAUUCAUAAUUUUCUACAUGCUGGUUUACCAUAAAACUAAGACAUUGCGAUCUAAAAACAAAGUAAUAGACAGGAUUCUCACCACAUAUCAACCUCACGGAUGAUGCCAUACUUGCCCCACGAGUUGGUAACUGCAGCCUUCUUCCCCAAAUCCUUCUUCUCAUCCUUCCUCCGCUUCUUCUUAUCCUUUUCCUUCUUAUGCCUCUCCUUCUCCUUCCUCUUCCUCUUCUCCUUCUCCUUCCUCCUCCGCCUCCUCUCCUCCUCUUCCUUCUCCUUCCUCCUCCGCCGCCGCCUCCUUCGCCUGUCCUCCUCCGACUCCGACUCGCUCUCCGACUCGGCGCUGGAACCAGAGUACGAAGAUUCGGACUCCGACUCAGACGACGAUCCCGAGCUCUCACUGCGGCUCCUCCUCCUGUGCCGCCGCCGCCGCUCCUUCUCCUUCCUCCGCCUCUUCCGCCGCUCGCCCGAGUCCUCGCCGGAGCUCUCGCUAUCCUCCUGACGCCUCUUUGAUUUGCCACGGUGGCCCCGGUCUCGGCUCCCCUUCGAACUUUCCUCCUCCUCGGCUUCUAGGGAUUUGCUGUCGCUGCGCGCCGCCUCCUUGCCCGCACCAUCAUCUGGGGCAGGUGCCGAGCCGUUCUGAUCCUUGGCCAUGCCUACCCGCCUAGGGUUUCGCCGUUUUGGCGUCGCGGAGGAGACGAGAAGAUCGAGAACAGGGGUGGCAACUGGGAACGCGAGGCGGAUCGGCUGGCGAAUGGCGAAUUGGUGAUGGCCUGCUGGGCUUCGGACUGCGGGGUGUGCGAAGAGGAGAGAUAGCAGCAAAACGUUUCCACGGCCCCUAUGAGGCUAUGACAUGUGGGCCGUUGCUCGUCUGUACUGCUGCCUCUGUACGCGUCUCCCUUCUCCCUCACGCGGCUGCCUCCCUUCUCUGAGGCAAACAAAACUCCAACCUCGCCGCCCGAUCCGACGCUCCGCCGGCCGGCCGCUGCUCGCAAGUUCUGUCGGUCCAACGCGCCUUGACCGCAGAUUCCUGCGUUUGGCCGGCUCUUGCAGCUGACGAACCCGAGAUCGGCACAUCUCGCCGGCUGCCGGAUCUAGUAGGAGGAGCCCGCGGGUGCUAUUAUUGCCUUCUGCGAUGACGAGGGCUCGGGACAGGACGGAGGAUUUCAAGGAGUCCGUUCGCGUCGCCGCGCUCGCCCAUGGCUACACUGAGGUGAGCUCAUGGGGCCCCUGAGCUCAUAUGCCCAACGUGACACCUCGGGAACCCGCGCCUUCUCUUCUCUGCAUCAGAAACAGUCUUCUCUCUAUUUACGGUCCGCUGUGUUGAUUUCUUCUCUUUGCAGGCGCAAUUGGCCGCGCUCAUGUCGGCUUUCAUCAUCCGGAAGCCGAACCCCAAAUCUCCGUUUACAAAAGCAGCAAUCAAGACGGUAGAAAUUUAUUCUUUGGCUGAUCUGUUUUUGAAUGUCAUAAUAACCGGAAACAAUCGCUAAAGCUUAUGGUACUGUUAGAAUGUGGGAGGUUUGCUAGUCUAAUUGCUGGGUUCUGUUGGUGUAGCUUGAGAGUAUCAGGGAACUGGAGAAGUUUAUAGUCAAGCAUAGGAAGGACUAUGUGGACACGCAUCGCACCACAGAGCAAGAGAGGGACACCAUUGAGCAUGAAGUAAGUUCCAACACAUCUAUGUGUUGUUUGUUCUUUACAUUUUCUUCUUGUAUUCUUGCAUGAGGAUUGAGGUAUUUACUCUAACCUUGGCUAGUUGCUAGGAAAUCUUUGUUAAGACAAUCUGAUUCCACAUGCCACAUAUUUUUUAUUGUUAAUGCAAAGCUGAGUUUCAGGUUUAUUUCAUUGCAAUAGCUAUGGUAGCAUUUAGAAUAAUUCUUGGUGAUCUCUCAUCGUGUCCUCCUUUUGCAUUGUGAGAGUUCUUUCUCAGUUCUUCCUUCAUAUCACAACUGUGUUAGUUAGGAUUAAAAUUUGUUAAGGAAGCAUAAUCAUUAUCCCCUUUGUUGCACAGCAGUAAAUAAAUGUGGUUCGUAUAUGUAGCACAUCUUUUUCUUGCUAUUAAUAUAUAUACAGGUAAGGAAUGUGUAUUCUUGUAAAUUUGGGCUUCCGCUCACGUUAUUUUCUCCAUUUCGUAUCUAUGUGAUUACUGAAAGUAUAUUAGGUUGGUGUUUUUGUAAAAGCAUGCAAGGAACAGAUCGAUAUUCUAAAGAACAGGAUCCAUGAAGAUGAGAAGAACAGAAGCGCGAAGACAUGGCUUAGCACAAGAGACGAGGGCUCUCGGUUGGACUUGAUAGCUCAUCAGCACGGUGUGGUAUGUCUAUUAUGCUUCCCACUGAUCAGCUACUGUCAGUUAUUGACAUCGAAACACAUCAUUGCUCUGAUAUUACUGUUCCUUAGUGUGUGUGCACACGUAGGUUGAAUAUGGUAGUGAAGUCUCAUUGCCAUGGUUAUGUCUGUGCAGAUCGUUCUCAAAAUGAUCUUUCAAGGUCUGUUGGGUUAAUUUAAUGUUUAAGAGAGAUCAUGAUAUUGCAAAAUUUAGAAGAAUCAAGUAGGAUUGCAAUUUUUGCCCGCUGCCAAAAACAUUCAGAUUUCAGAAUAGUGCUAGUGUUCCCCUUUUCUCUCUGUGUUGGUAAAGUUGUGCAUAAUUUGCUUAAUUUUCUCUGAAAUUUUAGAAGUUACAGGCAUUCAUCGUACAUGUGUUACUGUGCUGAUAAUAUGUACUGUGGGCAAAUCCUAAAGGGUACUUACUGCUUAGUAUAUUUACGGUGGGCAAUGUUUCGUACACGAGCCGGGUGUUCAAUAGACAUGUCAAAGUGAAUAAUUAUGGUCCUUUCAAGAAUUGAUAAACAUCUAUUUUCCAGAUAUUUGGUUUCAAUGUAUACUAUGCCCGCGGUAGCAGGAUAUGCAUAACUUCAUUGGUUGAUAUCAUUGGGUGGGCUAAAAACAAACACCACAUAACUGAUCAGUCAAAACAAAUGACUUCAAACAAUGUCAAAUUUCACUUUGUAGUUCAGAUAUGCGUCCAGGAAGCAUCAUGUAGGCAAGUACACGGCUGUGCUCUUUCUUACUGGCAUGUUCUCUAAUCUCUAUAUCCAAUUUGUAGCACAAUUAAGUAAUAUUUUCUGGACUAUCCUCCUUGCAAAUAAUUUUAUAGAUUUCAUAUGGUCAGUUCCAAACUUAUAAGCUCUGUGUUCUUUGUACAAUUUUACCAGGUUUUGAUUUUGAGCGAGCGUCUCCACUCAGUAACUGCACAAUUUGAUCGCCUUCGAUCCAUGCGUUUUCAAGAGGCUAUUAAUAGGGCAAUGCCAAGAAAGAAGAUUAAGAAGAAGCCAGAAAUAAAACCAGCUGAAUCAUCCAAGUCAAACCUUGUAUUACAAUCUGAUGUAUCGAGGGUUGGAGAUCAGGAGGUAUCUACUGCACCCUUAAGAGUUCAAGAACAACUCUUGGAUGAUGAAACUAGAGCUCUCCAGGUAAUAUUUUUAUGUGAUCUUACUACGGGUUAGUGUAAGUCGGGUUAUUUACUUGCCUAACUCUUGACUCAGGUGGAGUUAGGCAACCUUCUUGAUACUGUCCAAGAAACGGAGACAAAGAUGAUAGAGAUGUCGGCACUUAAUCAUCUUAUGUCGACACAUGUCCUACAGCAAGCGCAACAGAUUCAAUAUUUGUACGACCAGGUAGGGGAUCUCUUGUUAGCUUAAGCCAACAUUUGGUUGUUUCAUAGGAGUAUGUAGUAGAGGCUGGGAGCAUAUGCAGUGAAAUGGCGAUUUAUAAAUUUUCAAAAAUUCCAUGAAAAGUGUUGGUUAUGAAAACAUUCUCGAAAGAUUCUCAGGUAUACGUAAGACUGGUAUAUAUCCAUGCAAAAUUAAAGAACUAACUAGGGCUGAUUUGCGGUACGCAAAAUUUUCAAGACUCCACAUAUUUUGGCAGGAUGCCUCUAUUAGGGGCUAUAGAUUUUUGUUUAAUUUUGUGAACAGAAACAUACAUAUCCUGCAAAGAGGUACUCCCUCCGUCCCAUAAUAUGAGGCACGCACGCAUCCCUAGAUACUCAAUUUGAUUAAUUAAAUAUGUAUCUUUUUUAACAAAAAGUACAUCAUUAGAUUCGUUAUCAAAAGAACUUUCUAAUGAUAUAAUUUUUUAAUUAUUUAAUUUAUAUUUGAUUAGCUAAAUUGACAAUCUUGGGAUGCGUGCGUGCUUCAUAUUAUGGGACGGAGGGAGUAACAGUUAAUAGCAUAUAUAUAAACAUACAAGGUUCUACAAAGAGAUAACAGAUAAUGACAUUGGACACGCAUCUUCAUUAUCAUGCGCAUAUCAUUUGUUAUCAACUGAACCUUCAUCAGGAUACAUUCAGCAUCUAGGAAUUUAUAAUGACGAUCUUUACUUGCUAACCUGGUCCAGCAUAGCACAAGAUCAUGGUUGGUUUAUUUGCAAGAUCAUCAGUUUUGCCUGCAGAAACCGUAUCCGAAUUAGUGAGAAGCUUACAGUCAGUUGCUUUUUGUCACUGCAUUUCCAUUCUGACAGCGUAUCUUAUCCAUUUGAUUCAGGCAGUGGAAGCUACAAACAAUGUUGAGCGUGGUAACAAGGAGUUAUCCCAGGCGAUCCAGCGCAACAGCAGCAGUAGAACCUUUAUCCUGCUUUUCUUCUUUGUUCUUACUUUCUCUGUUCUGUUUCUUGACUGGUACAAGAACUGAAAUAGCACAUGUAAACGUGGUUCUUUAAAAUUGCGCAAAUGGAUUGAAUUACCACCGGCGUCUCCUAGUCUCUUUAGGGCUUUAGGCGGACCAUAUUUAUGGGCUAUUAUCUUGUUUCAUGCAUAUCGUUCACUGUAAACCUGAGAUUUUGCCAUUAUUGCAAACAUAGUCAUUAGCUCAAAGUGGAUUUGCUCCGUGCCCUGCCAAUAGGGAUGCAAGCAGGAUUCCGCGUUCCCACUUCUAGGCCAAUCUACAAAUUUUAAUCAAUUUUUUUGAACUAAAAUAGAAGUGGAAGAUAAGCGGGAUGCACAUGAAACUGUUUCACUGGACAAGCAACACUGCCGUUUAGGCUGCACGGUGUUCAUCGCUUCGAAGGCCCCUCCAUUCCCUUUACACGGACAAAAAUGCAGCUGGGCAACACUUUUGGUGCAAUAAAUAAUAUACAGGUACUCCGUACUGACUACUAAAUAUCUCAACAGAACUGUUUUGAUCGCGUGAACAUGUCGGCAAACUUCAUCACGCUUGAUGUAGUUCAACUUGACAUGUAACCAAGUAGACAGAUUACGGUGAUGUGCAAUUUUAUAUUGUUCUACAACUACAUGCAAAGUUCACAAUAAAGACAAGAUUUGAAAAGUUGCUCCAGUAACGCUCCAAGCCACCAACCAGUGCAGAUUGAGAUUGAAACAAAAUUGCAGUACAUGGUAGUGACAGAUGCAGGCAAACCAAACAGGAAUUCCUGAUACUGGCAAGACAAGAAUGGUAUCUGCAUUUCAGCUCCAAAUCUCGUCACAUUACAUCUCUAUAUCAGCAUGAUUUAGGCACAUGCUUAUCCAUAAAGGCCGUUGAAAGCGUUAACCAUUACCCUCUUCGCUAUAAGCAGCAGUCAUUAGUAUCUUGCCUUCUUUUUUCCACCGAGAAGCAGUAUAUUGCCUUUGAAUAUAUACAUAAGGUGUAUACUGCCCCUCUUGCUUCAGAACAAGAGCAGGCAUAGCACCACAAACACGAAGAGGAAGAACCAGAUGUGGUGCAGGGACCUCUCCACCUCCAUCUGCUGCCUUCUCAGUCGGGGGCCCAUGUUAUGAGCCGCGAUAUAGUAAGGGCUUGUGUAGUACAUGCUCGGAGGGAGCUGGCCACGGAAUGCCGAUGGAAGCACUGCUUCGGCCAUGCCUCCAAGCACCCCUCCAGCUGUCGAGUGGAUCAAACCACGUCCCAAUGGUGAAGGAGGAUGGAUGAAGUCGAAUUCAGUGGCACCGGAAUGGUGGUGGGCAUGCCGCAAUGGCCGCAGCAGAGGUCUGGGCUCCAUGUUCUGAUGGUGGCGGUCAUCAAUGUUGCUUUGUGUGUGGUGGUGCUCAGCAUUUUCCCGGUGCACCAUUGGCCGGCGUGGAAUGGCCAUACCAUCCAGUGAUUUCUUAGAGCUACCACCGCGGCCAUAUAGUGGCACAAGGCUGUCAGCAGAUAGUGUGGCCUUGCACACAGGGCACUGCUGCCUUGCGGAACUUCGGUUGUUACUGGAAGCUGAUUCCGCAGCUGGUUGCAGCCACUCGUAGAUGCAAGGCCAGCAGUAGAGAUGGCCACAGAGGGUAACAACUGGAUCUGCGGCGAAGUCAAGGCAGAUGUUGCAGUCAAAGGAGCCACUUCCAGCGGCUGCAGGCAUCUCCCCACUAAUGUUCUUCAUUGGCUUAUCGUCAGACACUGAAGGUUGGCUAUUGAUGGCAGCCAUGCAAACCUGAUCCAUUCUCCCAGCUUCCAUGGCAAUCAGGAUGCUAUCUGUUCCGGUUGAACAACUCACAGUACUGCAAUCCAAGAAGGAGAAGUCAGUAGCCAGUAGGAAUACGCAUAACUGGAAACGAUAAAGUUGAAAAGUUAAGCUAAUCAUGAAGCGGCCAAGGCUUUUAAAAUGUUCGUAAGGUGUGAACACCUAUCUGUGUGCAUUUAAGGACUAAAAAGCGAUACGAAACAAGAACUGGAAGGAACAUGGCAAGCAACACGGCUCCAUACAUCUUCAUCUAAACAAGAGCGGGUCCAGGUAACUGGCAGCAUUGAGGCCCACACCACAUCAUCCUGUCCUGAGAAGUCUAUUCACUUGCAUUAACAGGUGUGAUAAGUAGAGCAAAUGUUAUGUAAAGCAUCAAUUCCAUGUCAAUGUGCCAGACAAAAUCUUAGCACUGCACAUGGUUCUUUUUGCCAGCAAGAGACACAUUGUGGAAGAAUCCUAUCUUUUCUUAACUCACUGAGUCAGCAGCCAUGGGUUCUCUAAUUUUUAACUACAAUGGACUGCAGCUGCUGCACUCUUGUAUUAACCCUUAUUCUUAGCACCAAGCUACUAUGGUAAUUGGGUGUACUGACAGGUUAUCCAAUCAUACAUAUCUAUCGGGAUACUCGUAAAAGUUGAAUCACCAAACAAAUCAAACCACUAGAAUAUGUCCACAGCAUAACACCGCAAUACUUGACUGACCCAUGUUGAAGGCAAGCGCCAUGAUUGGGCCACUUGCCUUGGGAAGAAAAGGCAUGUGAGACAGUUUGCAUUCUAUAAUAGGCAGCUGUGAUUUGCGUAGUGGACUUACAACUUUGGCACGCCCUUACUAGAUUAACACUGAUCCUUGCUAAUUCAAUAUUCAGGUAAGUAGCCAUGGAAGGCCAACAAGGCAGAUUUGACUAAACCAAGAAGUAGUUGCAGAGGCUAAGACGCCCUGACCUAAUCUCCAACAUAAGCUUCCAUGACAAGUCUUAUCUUUUUCUGUGGUUGUGGAGUUCCUUUCACCAUCAAAUUAUUGAAAAACAACAAUGGGUGGGGAUAGUGAUGUGGAACGCAACAAUGAUGGAUUAGCUGAAGGACUUGGCAUAUUCGAUGGGGCCAAAUACACGAAAAGGAUCAUCAUUUAACAUAUCUAGGUGAUCGCAAAAAGAAUAAUAACCUAAAGAUAAUAGCACCUACUGUAUUAAGAUCGGGGAACAAUGAAUUAAUUGCCCAACUGCUUCGUGGAAAUAUCUUGAGUAGUAACUAAUACGUCCCCAUGUGUACAAGAAUUAAUAAAUUUUACAAGUGGACUUCAGUAAAUAAUUUCUAAAUUGAGAAAAUCAUCCUUAAUUACACCACGUCCCGCACGUGAAACCAAAAGGAGAUCAAUUUUCAGGCUAAUAGGAGCUGUCCCAGGGAUGCGACUAACCAACAACUGAUUUGAUCCUUCAGAAAGAAGACAAGUAAUCCAGGCACACAGAUCUGCUAUUUAUGAUUGCACUAUCUAGUAUCUAUCACUGCAAUUAUGCACGGCGUGAAUUUUCACGGCUGUAUAACGUAAACAUACUCCGAUAAAGAACGAUUCCCCUUGGGAGUAAGAACAUAUAAUACAAUUUGACAGCUCAAUGAGCAAUGGGCAUUUUACUGGACAUACCCACAGGUCACAAGAAUCACCCCCCACCCCAACCCCCUCCCUUCUAGCAAUUUAAAAGAUUCUACUCCGUACAACCGACUAUAACCCCAAUUGGAGAAUAAAAUAAAGUUUAUAACCACAAAUAUCUUCCGUAGACCAAGGAGCACAACAUGGAGCCGCAAAUAUAAUGUCCCUCAGAAUCGAAGAUGGGAAUAACGAGUUUAGCACUGCAGAUUUCCUAAGCAGGGGAAUGGGGUCGGACUGCGCCCCUAAACUCAUAAAGGAAUUGAACAAAAUGCCUCCUUUCCUACAGAAAACGGCAUUAGCGCGCGAUAGAAAAGCGAGGAGCACCAACAGAGCUACCGGCGAUCAUCUCCUGUUCACGGAAAAGCCCCUUUAGCAGCUGGUGCCAAGGGCAGCAGCAGUAGCAGCAGCAAGGCAAAACACAAAAGCUGCGGAGCUAAACCAACCUAAUGGCGACACCCAAGAGCCCUUCAAGGGGGAAAAAAAAAGAGGUGCUAGAAUCGAACAGAGAAACGCAAUCUACACACGAACAAAAACAGGACGGAAAAAAAGAGGAGGUUUAUUCGGCCGACCUUGGAAGAAAUCCAAUCCGUGCGCGCGGCGACUGUUGCCGGCUCCUGGUGUCCAAGAAUCGGGAGAGGGGAUCAAGAAAGGAGGCGAGAAUCGGGAGAUUGCGGGUGCUGUGUCGCUGCGAGGAGGAAGGAGAAGGAGGGGGAUGAGAUUAGGCGUCGACGUCACCUGCGGAAGAGGGCGAGAGAGAGAUAUAUAGAAACAGACCCCGAGGUUGGCCGUCCGAUCCAGGUCGGACGGCUGUGAUCGGGAACGGUAGGCGCCGUCGGUUGCCUCCAUCGGACGGUGGCGACGAUUUCCCACGUUACUCUCGGUGCGGAAGCUUCCUGUUGAUUUUUUUAACGCGGGAUAAGAGGCGAGGACGGCGGUUUCGGUGCGAGCAACUGGAAAAAGGAUACUGUUUCGGGAUUCCCUGUGCAAUUUCAUUAAGCUGGAGACCCUCGUGGUCUUCUGGAUAAACUGAAGCGAGCCAUAAACUGGUUGAAUCGGUCUCUGACUUCUCUGAUGCCCCAGAUUCAACGAGGUUAACGUUACUGCCUGUGAUUGAGCCAGGUUGGACUCAAUGCUAGCGAGGUCCGUCUAGAAAGAUGCUAUCUGCAUCUGACGAUUUAUUUGAUGGCGAAUUUAGAAUUUUGCUGGUGGGUCGCUGCUCACCUUGGCGCUCCCUAUCCUGCGCCCCUGAAUUCCACCACGGAUCUGGCUGUCUUUACUUUAGCACACAGGAAUUAAUCAUGUAGGGGAUGCGACGAAGAACCAAACGCAUGCGCGAACCGAUUAGCUCGGCAUUGUCUGGUAAAUUCCAGGUGGAAGAUACUCCAACGCUUGUGCAUGGUUAACUGCCAACUGUAAUAAACGCAUUGCGACCUAUUAAUAAAAGUGAAAGCUCCACCAUAAGAAUUCACUAGGUAACAAAAACAGCAUGUCCCAACAACAGAAAGCAUCGGACAGAUCGAGACGAGAGGAAAUCCCGAGGUCUGGCCUGAUGAACAGAGAAAGAGUAACGAGGUGGAGUUAACUCAAAGAUAAAGCGUUCUGAUUGGUGUUGCUCCUACGACUAGGACACUGCAUUGACACCAUUUGGCAAAAACAAUUUUAUUUUCUUUGCUUAUGUGGCUCAUUUUUUUUUCCCAGAAAAAGGUUCUAUGAGCUCAUUUUCACUAGAAUUUGGCCAAACCUCAGACAACCAAUUCAGCUGCCGGAUUCCGGUAACAUCAAAGUUUUGCCCUGGAUUUUAUGUGCUUCAUCUAGACACUGGGUAAACAGGACCGAGCUCUUGGUCCGUUCUGUUCGGAUCAAGAUAAGGCCUAGCCGUAAACCCGUACGUCCGCCUUUGUUUAGAGAUCUGACGAGUGACAUAGCCAGGACCCACCCAUCGCGUGGCUGGCCGUUCGCAAUCACCACUGCUCUGCACACGCAAGCAUCCAUUAUCUUGAGCCGAGAUUUUAUAUGCGGACAAGAAUAUAUUUUCGAAAGGUUAUGUUCGGGCGCUGUCAACGCAUAGACACCACCGUGAUGAUUACCCACCCGGCAAUCACGAAUCAUGUUCGUUUAUUUGUUAAACUCUCGCGCAAGAGCGUAAUUUUCUAGCCUUAUCGUGUACGCCCUUUGUGGGGAUGGAUGGCUACCAUGGGCCAUGGCAUUGUUGGUUUUGGCAUAGGCAGGCAGACUAGUCAUAUCUGUUUGCCCCACUGAGAAGAUAAGCUCGGAGUCGCAAGUGAUGUCACGGGAGUUCAAGCGCGCGAUGGAACAAGCCAUGUGCCGUUUUCUAACUUUAUCGUGUCAGUACAGUCACAGAAAUAUCCACAAGGUUUAAGCCCUGUAGUCUGUAGAGAGUUGAAAGAUGCGAUCGCACGUACACGGGCAGGUGAGUAUGAUUGAUAGGGUCAGCCAGUCCAGUAGUGAAUUUUCCUGUGUGCAUGACCGGCCAACGACCUCCGGCUUUGCGAAAGAUGCCGGCCGCUGAACGGACGGAAAGGGAAAGCCCAGCCGCCGAGAUGCCGUCCGGGAUCCCGGGUCGGGGUGGCCGGCCACCUCCUCCCCACCGUUCAGCUCUCUGCACGAGCACGACGGCUGCAACACUCACUUACUCAAGUCAUUGGCGCGACAAAGGUUAGUAGUACUGCUCCAGGUCCAAUGACGUUGAAGGGGAGAGGGAGUACAACGUUGCCAAUUGCCAGGUCCAAUGACGUGCCGCGUGCCGCGAUUACGGCAUCCGGCAACAGCAACGGUGCGGAGAUGCGCACGUUUCCCGAGAGGCCGCACGUUCGCCGGCUCCAGCCUUGCGGCAUUCUCUUCGGCCGGCCGGGGCCGGGGAACCAAGUGGUCGUUGGGUUGGCUUCCCCGGGUCACUUGUUUAAUCCCGGAGUGGACGUGGCCGCUGGCCAGUUUAUUCGGCGCAAUCCCGUCCCGCGUCGAGACAGGUGAGAGACGAUAAGGCACGGGCCGGAGCGGUUGUUGGUGCGUGUAUAUGUUUGGCUCCCCGUCCGUCCACGGCGUAGGUCGUAGGAUAUUGCAGGGCGCGUCCCGUGUGCUCAUUCGCACGCGUAAUCAUUGGGCCUAAUCUGUUGUUAGCCGGUGGGUGGGUGCGGGGAGCGCCGAGGGCGAUCAAGGGACACCGGACCGGGUGGUGGAGUCAAGGCAUGUGAUUUGGUCUACUACUCGAAAGACUGAAUCAAGAGAUCGUUUAAGAAUAAGAAAAUCGAUAUCGGCCAAUGGCGCGGCGUGACGCGUCGAGCCGGUGCACGUUUAACACCCGCGGUAGCAGCAGCCGGAGCCUGGAGCCCGAAGCGGGGUUUGUUUUAGCGGAUCGGAUCCAUGUACUGUAAUCACUGUAUUAAUGCUGUGUGUGCCAGUACAACAACCAGGAGGAUUACGGGACCGACCGGCCGGAGCGGGGUUAUUGUCCGCUGCAUGGAAUCCGACGGAUGCGUGCGCCCACCAACAAAAGGGGUGGUCGAUCGAAUCGGGCAAGGUACAGGCCGCCCGCUGUUUAACAUCAAGAGACCGUGGAUUGCCCGUUUUGUUUUCGCCGCUGUUUACUGCAGCCUGACGGGCGCCCACGAUUGAUCUGAUCUACCGGUUCUCGUGGUCCUCUCGCUCAUUCGGAUCUCAGCAAGACGUUUAGCGAACCAGAGGCAAAGUUUUGUUCACUCGUGAAUGGGACGUAAUUACGAGGUAGGGGGUCAUAUACCUUGGUUUGGAAAACCACGGAGGCGGCGAAGUCAUCGAGUCUAGGUCAAGCACUCCAAUCCGAGAAAAUAGCCGGUAGAAGUGACGGUGAAAACUUCUUAAAAAUUACGUAUAACAGCCCUUUGGGUCAUAAUACAAAUGAAAUUGCUAUGGAAUACGUUACUUUGGCUCCUAUUCUACAGAAUCUCUAAUGUGCGUUCAAUCUUAUUAUUUUUCUCGUAAUCCCGGCACAGACACUGCAACAAUUCACAUGACAUGACCGGUACUCGAACCUUUUAAAGUUUGACCAGGUUUAUACAAAAAUCACCCACCAUCUAUGACUCUAAAUUAGCAAUGCCAAAUGUAUACUAUGAAGACAUAUAACAUGAUGGAUUUUAAUAAAACUAAUUUAGAGGCUUAGAUUUCGGUUCAUUUUCUUAUAAACUCAGACAAAUCUAGAACAUUUUAUAAAAACGAACAGGAGGAAUGGUAUAUUUCAUCUGAAUCCGAUUAGUGCAUCUGCAUCUCACCCACAGCCAUCUAAAAGAUGAGAGGAUCAAAUGAGUGGGGAAUUAUGCUCACAAAACAGUUCAAGAUACUCAAGCACGAACUGAGGUUAUGUGGUAAAGGAUCACAUAUGAGUGUAUAGAAUAUGACUAUUAACAGUCCUGUCAUAUAUAUCUACAGCCCAAAAGAAUGAAAAGAUGGAAUCAGGCUUCCUUGGUAAUUUCAUCACAAGACUUCCUCAUUCAUUUAUUGAUGAUACACAGAAGGUUAAUUUCCAAUAUUAUCUACACGUGGGUAUAGAAAGAUUGUGCAGAUGACGUCAAGUUUUCGAUGAUCUGACCAUAGGACGUGGAAUGCUAAGUAAACCGUGUCCAGGAGGUCUCUUCUGCAUUUUACCUCUCAGCAAAUUUCUCGAUGCAUGAGAUCAGCGUACUUUCAGGCACUGCUCCGAUCACCGAAUCUUUUUUCUCACCAUUCUUGAAUAUCAUCAUGGUUGGUAUGCUCCGGACGCCAUACUGACUUGCUAUGUCUGGAUUCUCAUCGGUGUUGAGCUUGUAGCAUUUCAACUUCCCUUCAUAUUCCUUUGAGAGCUUGCCAACAACUGGAUCAAUAAUUUUGCAUGGUCCACACCAUGAAGCCCAGAACUCAACAAGGACAGGAAGCUCACUCUCCAUAACAAGCGAUUGCCAUGUCCCUUUCGUGACAUCAGGAACUACAAAACAAGUGGACAGUAUCAUAAUGAACAAUUGUGAACACACCAGUUGAUAAAAAUACAGAAAUAAAGCCGAAAAAAUAACUAGCAUAGACUAGCAAAAGUAAAUCAUUAUUUUGCCAUGCCUAUGACACAUAUAAUGAUGAUGGAGAAAUAAACAUGAGGCAAACUCUAGUUAUCGAAAAGAAACAUUACUGGUACUGUUUGUAUGCCAUUGCGCCCUGUACAAACAUCCUACAAUCCUAUAGAAGCCUAAGUUAGUUGAUCUGAAAGAGAUAUGGAGGUGUGGAGCAGGAGGAUGGUCAAGUCUGAUAAGUUGGCAGAUUCAAACACUAACCCAAGUCCAAAAUCGGCAUGAGGUCUCCACAUUAUUUUCAAAAAUGGUUUCUGCAAACCAUUGAGAAUCCAUCAGAUUUCCCUAUUCAUUUUUUGAACUAGCAUAAAACUCUAAUUGGUAAAUAUACUUGUCGUACUAGGCUUAAACGGUUUCUCCCCAACCCGAUUUUGAACACCCCUACUACAUAUCAACCAUGAAGGUUCAAAGUUCAAACCACUGGAAGUGUACAGCCAGUCUGUAAAUUAGGUCAGGCAGAUCCCAUCCAGACAGAGAAAUCUGUUCAUAAAAGAUCUGUAAACCUCUUUUGCUGGCACAGAAAUAUCUUCCAAUUCAGAACGCAUAUAGCAUUUCCGUAUCAGAUAUUGAAACAGGGUCACUAGUUUUUCAUGAUUAACAGCUUCGUGAAUGUAGCGCAAAUACGUGUUGCUUUUUCUAAUUGGCUUUAAGGUGCUUCGCAUAAGAUAGCAGAGGUUUUGAAUUUCUACCAACACACAUCCGCACAGAACUACAAAUCAGAACACUGUAAUAAUGCCUUGAGUACAACAGGAGCCCAACUGUUCACUGUAAAUGCUUUACCACUGCAGUCAACGGUUCGUUCUAAUAUUGCCCUAGCACAUUGCCUGCUUAAGGUGAAUAAUUUGUACUUGAUUGUUUAUGUAAAUGAAUUAAAAUAUCAUGGUUUUCGCAAAAAAAAGAAUUAAAAUAUCAUGGGUGUAAGCCAUUAAUUUCAGCCUUUCAGGAGCUUCCAGCAGCAGGAGUUUUAACAUAAAAAAACAGGUAAAUGCACCAUUGCACCUAUCAAUCCAUCAUAGGCAUUUGCUUCUCAAUUAACUUAUGAUCCUAAACAAAUCAAAACAUAUAUGUGGAGCAACCCAAGAUUAGCUGCUUUAUGUGUCAGGGAAGAACACAUAAUUAUGCUAAAGGGGGUGACAUGGAUGAUGUGGUCCAGAAAGGAAGUAAUGUAUCACUGCCAUAGCAAAAUGGCCAGGAGGCAAAGAUGCAGACAUCUAUACAUUCAAAUAUUCAACUACCAUUGAACGAUCUAAAAUCGACAAUAAAUCAACUGUACCAGUCAUGUGAUUCUAUAUUUAGAUUCAGUUACCCUCAUUAAAACAGAUGUGGCAAUAUUAAUAACUGAUAUAGCCAAAUUUACCUGCAAUAUACAAGCAUUACGUUACAAGUGAGUUCGACGCACUAAUAGGAAACUAGUUGUUCAACGUUGGCCUAUUAGCAGUCCUAUUACAGAAGCCAGAUAGUUAAAUGCUCGAGUUAGUGUGCAGCAACAUAACAGUCAAGCUUGUGUGAAAGCUUCCGAGGAAAUAAAAUUGCAAACUCUGCAUUUAAAGAGGCAGAUGCAUGCCAGAAAGAAGGCGCCGAAGCAUCAACGUCAAAUGUUGCUCGUUCUGUCAUUCAGAGUUGCUAAAAUGGUAAAAUCCAUAACCUCGCGUCCACAACUCUAUGCCCUUAAAAACUCGACAUUUGCCACGAUGGAGGACCCAAACUGAUUCCCCGAAGCAAAACAAGUUAAGCUUUCAAUCCCAAUUCCAGACACAGAACUCGAAAACUUAGAAUAGAUCCACACAGAUGCAUUGAUCGGAUAAGUAUUUAAUCACCGAAUCUCACAACAGAAUACAGAUCAAUACGUGCGACUUGACGAGCUGGCGUCGUGCAUACCUUGGAUGGAGGUGUCCUGGCCCUGGACCGCGCACACGACCGACGCGCCACGGCCAACGCCCCGGCGGUUCCCGGCGAGGUCGGUGACAGCGCGGAGGGCCGGGGAUCGCGGGGCGCGGGUGGACGGGAGCGCGUGGAAGCGCCGCGCGCGCAAGCUGGCAACGAGGGGAGAGCAGGUCGCGGGGACGGCGAUGGCGAGGGCGGAGGCCAUGGGCGAUGCGGACGGGAUGACCGGAUGAGAGUUCCAGAAGCGGAGAAGAGCGUGUUUGUUGUGAUGCGCGAGGAGGACGGGGGGAUGGAUGGGGAACUUGGAAAGGGAAGCUGGGGGCAGUUCUUCCGGUGGGCGUCAUGUGGUGGCCGCGCGCGCUUCGGCUGGGCCAGGCUGGUGGCUCGGUUGUUGCAAACGGGCAAAUGACUCUUCCUUUCAGAGGUUAAAAACGCCUGAUGACCUGAAGUGCGAGCGAGGAGCAGAGUGUCACCUUUUGCAUUGUGCAUUGCGGUUGAAUGACAAAGGAUCAGUUCAUCAGUUAACAAUGUUACUCUAGAAAAAAGGUCCUUCUCAUUCCCAAUCACGAAUAAUGAUACAAUAGAGUUUGCAACAGUGUUACAUUCAUCGCUUGCAUUUCUUUUACUGCAAUACCUGCAUCUAAUGAAUCUUUACAGCAUGUGAAUCUGAAUGUUCCAGAUGCAGCAGCUAUAAAUAUGACACAAGAUGUAGUUCCUUCUUCCUCAUGCUUCCAUGAAAAAUUCGUGCUCUUCAUCCCCCACCAUCAGAAGAUGGGAUCCCAGGAGCAGCACCCUUCUGCCUUCAGUGUUGGCUGAGCUCAUAAGCUUGCAAGGAUCUACCGUGAUCUCCACGUUGGUUGCUUUGCCGGCGGCUGCAUAGAGGCGCUCGAAACCAACCAACUGUUUCAAAGGAAAGCCUGGAACGCUUGACUUCGAUCUCGUGAAUAGGAGAACAGCGUGGCUCCCAUCCAUGGCGCCGUCGUUGGCAACAGAGAUGUGGACAGAGAAUUUUAUGGAUUCACAUGAUGCAAUGUCUUCGACUUGCACGUAGUCUAGCCCAUCCCUCCGUGUGUGUGCACGCUUCGUGCUGAUAAAGUCUACAGCUGACGAACGUGACAAACUAAUUUUCGUUGGAGCCUGUAUGAUGUUGUAUGAGUAUUUUGAGUAACUCAGACCAUACCCAAAGCCAUAUACCACAUCUCCGGUGUAAAACCGAUAUGUUCUCCCAGGGUAACUGCGUGAAGGGUCGGCUCUCAUGUUCAUAUCGUUCAUUGGAACAGCGGUGAAGGAUUCAGGGUACCAGGUAAUAGGCAAUUUUCCUCCUGUCAUCACAGUGAAUCUGAUUAGUCAACAUACAAGUUUCUCAUUCGACUGCAUACAACUGUAAAUAGUUUACUGACCUGGAUUGUACUCUCCAAAGAGAAUUUCUGGGAGAACUUGUCCGCCAACUUCCCCUGGAUAUCCAAUCCACAAUACACUUGCAAUUCUUUUAUCUUGCUUCGCAAAAGAAACAUCAACAGGACCACCACCCGUGAUAACCAACACAAGGGGCUUCUUGGUUACACUAGCAAUGCUAUUUAUGAGGUCCAUUUGCUUGCCGGGAAGGAGAAGGCUCACUCUAUCAAGAUCUUCAGUCUCCUGAGUCAGGUUCAACCCAGCAAUCAGAACAACAAUAUCAGCUCUUUUAGCUACUUCAAUGGCUUCGCCAAAUCCAUCUGUUGAGUUACAAGAUAUAUCCUUACAUCCAGCAGCAAUGGUUGUUUGUGGAACAACGGCUUGCAUGCCUUUAAGAAAGGUGGUAGGGUUACAGGGAACUCCUGAACAAAGCAAAACUAACAUUAGUUUAUGUACUGUAGGAUAGUAAAAUAAGGGGCGUUUAAAGUUUAAACAAGGCCAGUGAUUUAGACCUGUGUAAUCUCCACCCAUUAUAUAUGCGUCAUUUGCUACUGGUCCGAUGAUAGCAAUAUGACUAACUUCGCUUCUCUUCAGAGGCAAAAAACUGUUAUCAUUCUUCAACAAGACAGUACCCUGCCUUGCAGCUUCUGCUGCAAGCUCCCUGUGCUCUUUCGUGCAAAUAUUGCUUGGCCCUAGUUGAGUGAACCACUGAUUCCCACUAGUCUUAUCAAAAAGUCCAAGACGUAGCUGAACAGAAAACAGAUUAAAAAGAGCAUGGUUGAUAUCUUCUUCUGUUAUCUUUCCUUUCUGAAUUGCUGACUUUGUAUGCCGAAUCAGGAAGGACCCACAGUUGAUAUCCAUUCCUUGAAAAAGAAGGAAUCAUAUUCAGCGAGACAUUCUGCUUGGUUGAAGGCUACACAGAAGGUGUUAAAAAAAAAUCUAUUUCAACAAGAUGUUGAGACUUAUUCAUGCUAAUUCUGGCAAGGUGUCACACUGGAAGCAUAAAUUAGAAUUAGUUGAACUUGCACAUGCUGGCACCAGGUAAAUUAGUUGAACUUGAAAACUAUUUUAUGUCUCUAAUCUCCUAAUAUUUGUUUAUAUAAUGUAUAUUGAGCAGAGAAUUCCUUUGAGAAGACAAGGCCAUAGUCUAGAAAGAAAGCAACAUUGUUAACAAAAGCACAUAUGCGAUGCUCGCCACGAGAGAGUUUCAGUCCACUAACCGGCUUUCAGAACAAUCGCUAUUGAAUCUUCAUCUGAAUUUGUGUAAUUCUGGUAUCCGUAAAUUAUUCCCACGGCAUCACAAUCAGAUACGACGUACCUUCAGACAAUAAAAUGAACACUGAUAUUAUGACAUUACUGUCAUUCCCAACAUAUCUAAUAUUUCAAGGCUCAUACAAUAGAGAACAAUUCAAAGGAGAGGAAGCAAUACCCUUGAAAUCCCCAUUCAUCCCUAACCUUCUGCAGUAGAUCUUUGCGGGCACAUGCUGGCACACCAUUUACCUGGUUGUAUGAACACAUCAAGCAACUUGCACGACCCUCCUGGAUACAGCUCUUGAAAGGAGGCUCAUACGUGUCCUCGAAAUCUUGCUCAUUGACCUGCCAAUAGUGGAUUUGCUCUUACCAUUCGCAUUAGAAGUUCAAAACAAUUAUUCAACAGAUUUCAUUAGUACUUCAUAUUAUUCUUUGAUUGAAUAUAUUGAUAAAAUUACAAUAUUAAUGGUCACUUGAAGCAAUAAUACAACAAUCAAAUAUUUCUCAGUCACUGAUACAAUCUCUGGGGCUAAGCAUGUAGUAAGUGAAACUGUAGGUAGUACUCCUAUUUGUUUCUCUGCACAUCAAGUCAUGGACUGGUAAAGUAGUGUGCUAAUGUUAUGUCCAAUUGUCUAGUAGUCCCUAAAUGUUACUGGAAGUUAUUUCUCGGCCAACAUCCAUAGCCGUCCGGUGAAGAUAUUUCCAUUUCUUUGUACAUACACAAUUCUCAAUAUUUCCAUUUCUUUGUACAUACACAAUUCUCAAUGAUCAGAUUGAAUGGUUUUUAGCGUCGACUUAGAAAUAGUUAUCCCCGGUUACCCCAAAAAUAGCAAAACCGUUUGAAAAAGUCAGCUGCCCAAUGACGGGCUAUUAGUUACGUUCUGCAUAAUUAAUGAAGUUGACAGCGCUGUCAAAAUAAUAGUGAAGUUGACAGCAAACAAGGCCAAUAAGCUGAAUACUCUGCGAAAACCAAAAUGAGCUUCACUAUAACAGAAGACCAACACAUUCAUAUGAGCAAACACUUCACCUUGGCAUUAAAGGUGUACCGCGUGAAGUUCCCCCAUUUCUCCAGAUCAUACGCGACGUAGUGCUUGCAGCAGGCGGAGAGCAUCAUCCUGCCUUCCUUGCCAUCGCCGUACUCUCCCUGAAACCCUUUCACAUACUCGACGGAGUAGGCGGCGAUGACGGCGGGGUCCUCACCGGGCGUCUCCUGUCCGCGGCCCCACCGAGGGUCGCGGAACACGUUGAUGUUGGGCGCCCAGUACGUGAGGCCGGCUUGGCCGGCGUUGUGCAUGGCGCGCGCCUCCACCGCGACGGCCUCCGCCACCGCACGCCACAGCGAGCGGUUGAACGAGGCGGCGGAGAGGAUGACCUGGGGGAAGAUGGUCGCGGCGCCGACGGGGCCCGAGGAGAAGUUGACCCCCGGGCCGUUGUCGGCGAGGCCGUGGAGGGACUCGGACCACCACUCGUAGGGCGGGAUGCCGAGGCGCGGGACGCCCGCUGCUGUGUUGGAGAGCUGCGCUAUCUUCUCGUCGAGGGUGAGGAGGGAGACGAGCGCGCGCGCGCGGACAGGGAACGGGAGGGAGGCGUCGCAGAAAGGAUACGAGUUGGCCGCAGCCGACGCGCACGCGUGCGCAUUCGACGGUGCGGCGGCGCCAGCGCCGGCGCGGGCGACGAGGAGGACCAGGAGGAGGAGCAACGGGGGAUACAUGUCGUGCUUCGGGGCAGAGGACUUGUGUCGAGCACUUGCCUUGCUUAAAUCUCCACGCCAGUUCACCUCUACACUCCAUCGCAUACGGUUGUCCGGUGCCUCGGCGCCUCGGCCUGGGAAGCUGGGAUGUGUUGCCGAGGCUGCUGAGCGGGACCGACUGGGCCUGAGAGGGUAAGCUAGAUAGUGUCUCGGGGGACUCGUGUUUGGUGCGAGAUGCCUGACGCAGCUCAGUUUUCUUUGACAUCGAUGACUAGGACCCGAUAACAAGACCCAAUCGCGUGCGAGAUCGGUCCUCAUGUCGCUGCGGAUAAGUCAUAUUUUUUGCUUACUCUGUUUUGAUAUGGUUGCCGAGAUGCUUGAUGUCUGCGUCUUCCUUGCUAAAGGCCAAGUAAUGACAGUUCUGACAUGUUGCGUUGGGCUAAUGGAUAGUAAUUGCGAAAGUUGGAGUUCAGAAUUCCCUCUCCUGUUCAGUGUUCACCUUUGCGACCCUGCGUUCUUUUCUUCGAACCUCAAAAGAAGGAGACCGCAUGAGCUUUGGAUACAUGUAAAUUUUGCUUACCUUUAAUGCACUGAACAGAUAGAUAUGUUCAAGUCAUCAAAAUCCAAUCAAGACAAGAUUUCAAUUUUUUCACUAGUCUCAUUAAUAUUUUUUUCACUAGUCUCGUUAAUAUUUUCUUGAAUUUUAGAUGUUCAGGGAGGAGAAAACUCCCCGGCUCCGAUGCAUAUAGCAAGAAACCAAGCAUAGUACCAAGUGUUCUAACUUCUAAGAUUAUAUUUGUUUGGGAUGCAAUUGUAGCUCAUAGAAUGAGCCGCGGCUCGAAAGUUAGAUUGUCUGAUGUCUGUUUGUUUCGACGGUUGGUGCAACUGUAUGAACAUAUCAUAACAUAGAAUACUACUAAUAUAUUUAUAAACACAUCUGGUUGCAAAAUAUGAGGUCAUCAUGACAACACAUAAGCUGCACCUAAUAGGAUCCUACUCUCUUGCGGCCAUCAGAGCAUUUGCAAUGUUAAUACGGGUUGCGUCCAUUGUGCCAUUGCCACUUUCCGAAUAUCUUCCAUGUAGUCCUCGUCAGUAUAUGAAUCACUCUCUCGGAUGAAGUUCCGCAAGACCAUACAAGUAACGAUAAUCCUUGCUUGCUUGAGGGUAGUAGGCACAACCUUCAACAUGA